UCGGGAAUCUUCCACAAUGGGGGCAACCCUGAUGGAGCAAUACCGCGUGCAGGAAGACGCUUUUCGGAGUGUAAACUGCUUUUAUCACCGAUGAUUAUGACAGUAGGUGAAGAAUAAGGACCGGCUAAUUACGUGCCAGCAGCCGCGGUAAUACGUAAGGUCCAAGCGUUAUCCGGAAUUACUGGGCGUAAAGCGUCUGUAGGCGGCGCAGAAAGUUAGGUGCGAAAUCUCGCGGCUCAACCGUGUAGACUGUGCUUAAAACUUCUGUGCUUGAGGUUGGUAGAGGCAAGUGGAACUUCCGGUGUAACAGUGACAUGUGUAGAUAUCGGAAAGAACACCAAUGGCGAAGGCAGCUUGCUGGGCCACACCUGACGCUCAGAGACGAAAGCGUGGGGAGCGAACGGG
rnacentral:rRNA from 1 species